CAACAAUUUACAACACCAAAGGAGAUUGCAACCAAAACUGGGAAUGCAAGGGUGAGAUCAGGGUGCACCUGUCACAAGAUUUUAGGCACCUGUGUGGGGAUAAAAGGGCUCACAGUGAAUCAUUAAUUACAUAAUUCAAUUUUGGACAGCUGGAGGGGGUUAGCAGCCCAUGAAUGCCUCUGCUUCAACUUAUUAGCCUUUCUUUAUUUCUCUUUACAAAACAGAGUUAUUUUCCAGCGAUGUAACUACUAGCAGUAUGGCAGCAUCUGGAAUUUGAGAUCAAGGUGUGAUCAGAGCUCUCCUAGAGGCUGGCAGCUCUACACCCCUGUUCAUUGCUGAUGUUGUGAUCUUGACAGAGGCAAGCCAUAGUGCUCUGCUGGUAGCAUCAUACAGCAGUUCCCACCAGCCCAGCCAGCACACGCUGACACUGUAGGACAGCCUGGCUUUUUGGAACCAAAGAUGAGAGAAUUUAGUGGCCGUUUCUGCUACAAACCUGCAGCAUGACAGGAGUAUGAGAUGGAAACUGCAGGAGUGCCCUUGCAACAUGGCAUUGGUUGCCACUUUCCUCAGACCUGUGUCCCUGCUCUUACUGCCUUACCAGCUGAUCAUUCCAUGAAUCAGCCCAAGGGAAUAAAAGACUGGUUUCUGGAAGGAAGAGUUACAGAAGACAACUGAUGAUGAAUCACCAAAGCAAGGAGGUCUUUCUGCAUGCAUAGAUGAUCAGAUCUGUUUUGGAGCUGAG
rnacentral:lncRNA from 1 species